ACUUCAAAAUAUGAAUGUUUAGGGAGGCACAAACAUUCAGUCCAUAAUACCAAGUAAGCCUUCGGUCCACCCCUCUCCUGCACCAAUCAGGUCCAAAUGUAGCCAGGAGUCAUCAUCCUUUAUUUUUGUCCAGGCAGCAUCUUGUGGAAAUAAGCUGUUCAUGCUCUUCUGUAAUACAGACAAUUAAUCAUUAAGUGAGAGCUAGAGAGAGUCUUGGGAAGCAUAUGUUCACGUCCUCAUGUUUUAGAGAUGAGAGAGUAAGACUUGAAAAAAGUAAAAUGGCUUUCUCAGAAUAUCCAACGACCAUCGGAUAGUCACAAAAAGAAAAGCAAUACCGACAGACCUGGAUCUACUUGUCCUUGAACAAUUUCUUUUCCUACUGAAUUAAGUCCAAGACAUGUGCGUGCACACAUGCAUACCUGUGCCUCCAUACCUACUGCAGGUAUAAAGAGUUACUAAAUAUACUGCUUCAACAGCUGGGAUUUUACAAGUUGACUUUUCACAAGGUGUUUAUGGUUUCUUAAAAUGUGUUUGGCUCUCUUUUUUCUUCUUCUGAGAUUUAAAAAAUUUAACAUAGAACUUAAACAUAAGGCUGAAUUGGUCAAGAUAGUUACCGCAGCGUUACUUUAUACUGUCAAAUCCAAAUCACGGGCAGUGAAUUCAAGCUCGGCUUAGUGUGAUGCCAAAUCAUCCCACUUUGGCCAACGGCAUUCAAAUAAGGUCAUCAAAGGCCAAAGUGGCCACCCUGAGGCCCUGCUGAAGUUGCCAAUGGGUGUCUAUCUCUGCAUCUGGUCAGAGAGAAUUCCCUCUGAAUUCAGUGGGAACUAAGAACUGAGGCCAGUUAGUAGAACCAAAGAACUAGGUCCUACUAGGGGAUCUGGAAGUUGGUAAAGCGGUACCACUCUCGUUGUUAUUCACUGGGCCUUGACCCACGCUGAGUUAAAACCAGAUAACUUGGCUCAGAAAAUUCAUGAUGCACGCACUCAGCCCAUGGAAUGAAUGAGCUCUUCUAGGAAACGGAACACCCAUUGAGAAGACUGAGGGGUGCCCUGGAAGAGUUCAAAGGGCCUGAAACAGGGGCUCCAUUUCCUGGAAUCCCUCACUCAUCUUCUUCCUCUGGUAUCCCUUGGCUCUUCUUCAAUGCAGACAUUCACUGCCUGGGGUGUGCUAGAAACUGAGCUGGACACUAUGCUGGGGAUGUCCCUCAAGGUGUUGACAAUCUGAUGAGAACCAAGACUUGUACACAAAAAGCUAAAAAAAUUAUACAGCUAGACUAACCAGAGACCCAAAUGAAUGAGAAAACUGAGACAGAAAAUUUACCAAGAAAAAAUGCCAAGGGCACAGAAUCCAAGGUCAUAGGCUGCAAAGAAGAGAGGACUCUCCCAACCUGAGGUGGUGACUCAUGACUAAGCCAAUGGGGGUUAUUUCCACCCUCCUUGCCAGUGAUUGGUUUAACAAUGGACUUGGGCUACGAUGCUGGAUAGGAAGUCUAACGGGGCAAUCUAGGAAAAGGAUUUCAAUUUUGGAA